ACAGCCACUAGGGGUGUUGCAGAUGUGGCUGCCCUGUCACGUUUGUGUCAUGAGGCGGCAAAGAGAGGCUUGUCUGUGCUGAGUGAACAUCCAGAUGAUUGAUAGUCUGACACU